rnacentral:rRNA from 1 species
GGGUGAGUAAUAUAUCGGAACGUGCCCAGUCGUGGGGGAUAACGCAGCGAAAGCUGUGCUAAUACCGCAUACGAUCUCUGGAUGAAAGCGGGGGACUCGCAAGAGCCUCGCGCGAUUGGAGCGGCCGAUAUCAGAUUAGCUAGUUGGCGGGGUAAAAGCCCACCAAGGCGACGAUCUGUAGCUGGUCUGAGAGGACGACCAGCCACACUGGAACUGAGACACGGUCCAGACUCCUACGGGAGGCAGCAGUGGGGAAUUUUGGACAAUGGGCGCAAGCCUGAUCCAGCAAUGCCGCGUGCAGGAUGAAGGCCUUCGGGUUGUAAACUGCUUUUGUACGGAACGAAACGGUUCUCUUUAAUAAAGGGGGCUAAUGACGGUACCGUAAGAAUAAGCACCGGCUAACUACGUGCCAGCAGCCGCGGUAAUACGUAGGGUGCGAGCGUUAAUCGGAAUUACUGGGCGUAAAGCGUGCGCAGGCGGUGAUGUAAGACAGAUGUGAAAUCCCCGGGCUCAACCUGGGACCUGCAUUUGUGACUGCAUUGCUAGAGUACGGUAGAGGGGGAUGGAAUUCCGCGUGUAGCAGUGAAAUGCGUAGAUAUGCGGAGGAACACCGAUGGCGAAGGCAAUCCCCUGGACCUGUACUGACGCUC